UUAACAGGCCUUUGCUUUAAUAAUGUAAAACUAAAGGAGAGGUGACCUUUUUAAAGGUUUUGUUACCAUCUUCCUGUAGAGAAGUAUGAAUUGGUAACUGUUGCAGAUUGUCUAACCGUGGUUUGCUUACACCUCUGAAUUCAUGUGGUCUCUCAGGGUAGAGAUCAGAAAAUUAUGGAUUUAUGAGGAACGUGGUUAUUAUGGAAACAGUGCUACUCAUGGUAGAACCGCAAGACUUGCCUGACCUAUAGCUAAACUGAGGAUGGAGGUCAAAUGGUUAUGAUCAUGGAAAAAGGUUUGGUUUAGACUUGCUUGGUUUCUGGGUUGCAGUGACAACUUUUUGAUAAAUCAGUGUC
rnacentral:lncRNA from 1 species